AUGCCCGCAGAACAACAGGGGAAAAAUAAAACUUUCCAUAAGAAGAUUCAAGCCGGGAAACAGGUUCAAAUAUCAAAAAUUCCAAGGUGUGAGUACUUGAUAGGCAUCAAAGGACAAGAGUUCAUCAGUCAGAUUCAAGCCAGUUACCCUCAUCUACUUGAACAGCUGUUAUCUACUUCAGACAACACAGAAGAUGAAAAUGAAAAUGUUGAAUCACCAAUUGUCCACCUGAAGAAAACCGUUCAGAAGACGCAGUCAUGAUGAACACCCCCGUGGUGAAGGCCGCCUUGGAGAUGGGCUUCAGUAGAAGCCUGGUGAGGCAGACGGUGCAGAGUAAGAUCCUGACCACUGGGGAGAAUUACAGAACCGUUAACAAUAUUGUGUCUGAUUUUACUUCACGUGGAAGACGAAAUAAAGGAAGAGGAGAAAGAAAGAGCAGCUGAGAACAGAGAAUCAGACGACGUAUCAUUGAUCCAGAAGAACAGAAUGGUGCUUUUCCAGCAUUUGACUUAAGUGCUCCCAAUCCUGGAUAGUCUGCUAACUGCCGGAGUGAUUAGUGAGCAAGAACACAGUGUGAUUAAGCAGAAGGCACGGACGUCUCUGCAAGCAAGAGAGCUGAUUGAUACUGUGUUAGUAAAGGGAAGCUUUGCGGUCACCAUAUUUAAAAACUCUCUACAAGAAACGGACCCCGUGUUAUACAAGCGUUUCUUUGUGCAACAGGACAUAAAGUAUAUCCCCCCGGAAAAUGUCUCAGAUUUACCAGUGGAAGAGCAGUUGAGGAGGCUGCAGGAAGAGAGGACGUGUAAAGUGUGCAUGGACAAAGAAGGUUCCAUAGUGUUCAUUCCUUGUGGCCACCUGGUCGUGUGCAGAGACUGCGCCCCGUCUCUACGAAGAUGUCCUAUCUGCAGGGGCGCAGUCAAGGGCACAGUGCGUACGUUUCUUUCAUGAGGAAGAUCCCAAACUUUGUCUAGACUUUAAAAUUAAUGGAUUACGUGUAUUGUAAUUUUGACUACUAUGCUGGUUGGUUUCCUUAAGAUAUUUAUCUAUUUGCAACUCAGAACUGUUUGAUAUAAAUAUAUAUCUAAACGCUGUGAGCCGUGUGUACCUAAGAGAGAGUGAGAACGAUAGGCUUUUGUUCAUGUGAACAAAGAGACAGAACUACAGGCACAAUACUAAAUCAGAAUUUCCGCACUACUGAACUCACAAGUGAAUGAAGCUUUCAGAAUUUUAAAUACUUUGGAGUCGUAUUAAGAAACAGGAGCAUGGAUUAUCUGCCUUUCUUGAUCCAAAUCCUGUAUGUAGAAGGUCUUGAUAUUUGUUGAAUGACUUUUUGGGGACCUGGUGGUUUUGUAAAGAAUUCUGUGAUGAACAUUUUAAUAAAGCCAUAAAAUUAAAAAAAAAA